CGAGCGGGGGAAGGUAGCUUGCUACUGGACCUAGCGGCGGACGGGUGAGUAAUGCUUAGGAAUCUGCCUAUUAGUGGGGGACAACAUCUCGAAAGGGAUGCUAAUACCGCAUACGUCCUACGGGAGAAAGCAGGGGAUCUUCGGACCUUGCGCUAAUAGAUGAGCCUAAGUCGGAUUAGCUAGUUGGUGGGGUAAAGGCCUACCAAGGCGACGAUCUGUAGCGGGUCUGAGAGGAUGAUCCGCCACACUGGGACUGAGACACGGCCCAGACUCCUACGGGAGGCAGCAGUGGGGAAUAUUGGACAAUGGGGGGAACCCUGAUCCAGCCAUGCCGCGUGUGUGAAGAAGGCCUUAUGGUUGUAAAGCACUUUAAGCGAGGAGGAGGCUACUUUAGUUAAUACCUAGAGAUAGUGGACGUUACUCGCAGAAUAAGCACCGGCUAACUCUGUGCCAGCAGCCGCGGUAAUACAGAGGGUGCGAGCGUUAAUCGGAUUUACUGGGCGUAAAGCGUGCGUAGGCGGCUUAUUAAGUCGGAUGUGAAAUCCCCGAGCUUAACUUGGGAAUUGCAUUCGAUACUGGUGAGCUAGAGUAUGGGAGAGGAUGGUAGAAUUCCAGGUGUAGCGGUGAAAUGCGUAGAGAUCUGGAGGAAUACCGAUGGCGAAGGCAGCCAUCUGGCCUAAUACUGACGCUGAGGUACGAAAGCAUGGGGAGCAAACAGGAUUAGAUACCCUGGUAGUCCAUGCCGUAAACGAUGUCUACUAGCCGUUGGGGCCUUUGAGGCUUUAGUGGCGCAGCUAACGCGAUAAGUAGACCGCCUGGGGAGUACGGUCGCAAGACUAAAACUCAAAUGAAUUGACGGGGGCCCGCACAAGCGGUGGAGCAUGUGGUUUAAUUCGAUGCAACGCGAAGAACCUUACCUGGCCUUGACAUACUAGAAACUUUCCAGAGAUGGGAUUGGUGCCUUCGGGAAUCUAGAUACAGUUGCUGCAUGGCUGUCGUCAGCUCGUGUCGUGAAAUGUUGGGUUAAGUCCCG
rnacentral:rRNA from 1 species